rnacentral:lncRNA from 1 species
UAAACUUUAUAGGCUUUUGCAGUACCGUUCUAUUUUGGCCUUUUCUGUCAAUUUUACCAUAAUUUCGAUCUUCUGCAACAAGGGCACUCUCAAUUGCAAUUAAGGAUGGAAUUGUAAAUAAAAAAUUAUUUUCAUUCUUUUUAAAACAACAACAACAAUAAUAAGAAAACAGGAGAAUUGGCUACUAAUCUACUAUAGACAUAGCCUCAUGAUUUUGCUUUCAUGUUGUCGAUGAAGGAUAAAGUCGAGAGGAGGUCACAAUCCAUCUUUCUUCUUCGCCCGAGGGACAGGCCGCAAAACACUGUUAAUCAAAGUUAAAAAAAGGAGAUGAAAGUCGUGAGGGUAUCUUUACAGCUCAAGCGAUGGUUCUGUUGUGAACAAUGGAAGAGAAUUGACCGGUGUCAUGGAGGCGAUAUGGAAUCGCAUGAAACAGAGGAAAGGAAGGAGAUCCUCGGUUCGAUUCAAGUCUUACUCUUGUGCUUCGAGUAGUUCUCGAUCCAGUUCAUAGAAAAUUCUAGAUCUUUAGAUGGCUUCCUCUGGUUUGUCUGAGUUUUAUCACACUAAGGAUAAGAUACAUUUUGCCAUUUGAAAAAUUCUCUCCUCUCUCUUGCUUUUUGCACUCAUUUAAUAGAAAAGAUGGCUGAUUUUGAACGAAAAGACUUUUUAAUUUGAUAGAACCAAACAUUAGGGACCAUAUGACUAACAUAAAAAAAAAUAAGGGGACAGGUCAAAUAAUUUGAUAAAAUGUUAAAGACAAAAAACUAUUUCCGUUAAUUUAAUUUUUAUGUCAAGCUUGAAAUUUUUUUUGAUAAGUAACAUAAAUUUAUAUUAUUAAAUUAUUAACUGCGAAUUUAUUUAAAAAUUAAAUUUAAUCUAUGAAAUAUUGUAUUUGUUUAGUCUAAUGAAAUAUUUUUCAAAUUUUUAUUUUUUAAGUUUUUAUCAA